UCCUUGAAUGUCCAGUGGUUAAGACUCUGCACUUCCCAUGCAGUGGGUGUAGGUUUGAUCCCUGGUCAGGGAA
rfam:TPA: Bos taurus chromosome 17, whole genome shotgun sequence.